rnacentral:rRNA from 1 species
AUUGAACGCUGGCGGCAGGCCUAACACAUGCAAGUCGAGCGGAGCGGCUGACGGAUGAGUAAUUCCUGUGAGUCUGCCUGGUAGUUGGGGAUAACUUCCUGAUACGGACGCUAAUACCUCCUACUUUCCGUUGAGUCUAGGUGGGAUUAGCUAGUUGGUGGGGUAAAGGCCUACCAAGGCGACGAUCCGUAACUGGUCUGAGAGGAUGAUCAGUCACACUGGAACUGAGACACGGUCCAGACUCCUACGGGAGGCAGCAGGGGGGAAUAUUGGACAAUGGGCGAAAGCCUGAUGCAGCCAUGCCGCGUGUGUGAAGAAGGUCUUCGGAUUGUAAAGCACUUUAAGUUGGGAGGCGUUACCAACAGAAUAAGCACCGGCUAACUUCGUGCCAGCAGCCGCGGUAAUAC